UACGUAGGGUGCAAGCGUUAAUCGGAAUUACUGGGCGUAAAGCGUGCGCAGGCGGCUUUGCAAGACAGAUGUGAAAUCCCCGGGCUCAACCUGGGAACUGCAUUUGUGACUGCAAGGCUAGAGUACGGUAGAGGGGGAUGGAAUUCCGCGUGUAGCAGUGAAAUGCGUAGAUAUGCGGAGGAACACCGAUGGCGAAGGCAAUCCCCUGGACCGGUACUGACGCUCAUGCACGAAAGCGUGGGGAGCAAACAGG
rnacentral:rRNA from 1 species